ACUCCAGUGGUGCAAUCGGUCAGCGCGAGGUGCGUAUAAGAUCAGUGACCUUGCAGAGCUAUGCCCAGGUUGUAAGUUCGAUUCUCACCCUGGAGCA
rnacentral:tRNA from 1 species